rnacentral:rRNA from 1 species
GUAGGUGGCAAGCGUUGUCCGGAAUUAUUGGGCGUAAAGGGCGCGCAGGCGGCGUCGUAAGUCGGUCUUAAAAGUGCGGGGCUUAACCCCGUGAGGGGACCGAAACUGCGAUGCUAGAGUAUCGGAGAGGAAAGCGGAAUUCCUAGUGUAGCGGUGAAAUGCGUAGAUAUUAGGAGGAACACCAGUGGCGAAAGCGGCUUUCUGGACGACAACUGACGCUGAGGCGCGAAAGCCAGGGGAGCAAACGGGAUUAGAUACCCCGGUAGUCCUGGCCGUAAACGAUGAAUACUAGGUGUUGGGAAGCAUUGCUUCUCGGUGCCGUCGCAAACGCAGUAAGUAUUCCACCUGGGGAGU